UACGUAGGCAGCGAGCGUUGUUCGGAGUUACUGGGCGUAAAGGGUGUGUAGGCGGUUUUGUAAGUUUGGUGUGAAAUCUCCCGGCUCAACUGGGAGGGUGCGACCGAAAACUGCAAGGCUGGAGUGUGGGAGAGGUAGGCGGAAUUCCUGGUGUAGCGGUGAAAUGCGUAGAUAUCAGGAAGAACACCGGUGGCGAAGGCGGCUCUCUGGGCCUUACCUGACGCUGAGGAGCGAAAGCGUGGGUAGCGAACAGG
rnacentral:rRNA from 1 species